CGGUGGUUGCAUUUGUUUCAUGUUACUAAUUCUUUGUUUUCUCAGGGCAAAAUUAACUGAUGAAUUGUAAAUGAUCAUAAAUCUAUAAUACUAUAAACACAAUUACCAACUAGUAGCUAAAGCAACCACUAACAUAUAAAUGUCAUUUACAUUUUAGACGAGAUAUAUUAGUGUCCAACAAUUAGCUCACACUCAUCUUUCAAACUUCCUUCCAGGUUUGUCAUAUCUAUGAUUAUGGUUUCCAUCAUUUUGCAUGUGUGUGUGUGUGUGUGUGUGUGUGUGUGUGUGUGUGUGUGUGCGUGUAGGGAGAAGGUUCGGGACAUAGAGGAGCUGAGGCGAGCAGUGAAACAUGAGGCGGGAGAGUUGGAGAAGCAGCUGAAUGAACUGGCCCAUCACUAUGAUGACAGCUUGAAAAUGAAGAUGCACAGACUGUUGGAUGAGCAGUCUCUACUCUGCUCCCAACUCAGAGUCUUUCUACCUGGACCAUCGAACACCACACACAACAAGACAGUAGCUACUCAGUGCUGUCUGAUGCCCCGUGACCACAUCUCCUCCUGGAGCACCUGGAACGUGGAUUCCCCGAGACAGUCCCCUCCCGGGUUAGAAAGCAUUUGUGGGAGCCUGGGUUCUUCUCCCACUAAGGCAGAAAAGUUGGACUUAGUGGGCUUCCUCCAGAGACUGAAAGAGUCUUUGAGUCACUCUGCGAACACAGACUCAGUGGAAUAAAAGAAGAUGAGAGCAUUACCUAAACUAGACGACAUCUUUCCUGCUGUCUUCUUUUUUCCUAAAGAGAUGCCUUAUGUUGUCAAACAUGAAUAACAUGAAUAAUCCCACAUAGACUAGCAUGGUUGUUAAUAAUAAUUCAAAUGCUUAUUUUCAAUUAUUUUUGAAGGUAAAUAUGUUAAUAUGAUGUAAGUAUGAGAUAUUUAAUAAAGAUGUUAUUACACACUACGCCUUUGCUCAGUGAAUGCACAAUAUUUCCGAUGCAUAGGCCUAAUACAGCUGCAAUAAACCUGUGAGCAGUG
rnacentral:lncRNA from 1 species